GAAGUCUGGUAGUACUCACCAAUCACCAUAUUCUUUCUGGGCACACAGUUGGACCACAUUUCGCAACCCCCUGUGUGGUUAGAGGUGGUCAUGUGACUGAGUUCUAGCCAAUGGGAUGUGAGUAAAAAUAACUGCACCAUUUUCAGGUCUGGCCUAUAAACACCUCCUACCCACAAUCUUUGCUUUCCUUCCUCAUCUGUCUGCUUUGAAAAGGACUCUGAGGACAAAGAAAGCAGAGUCACAAGACAGGAAGAGUCUCAGUCCUUAAAUGGCUCCCCAGAGCAGAGCCCUCCUGCCAAGACUUCUUGUGCAGUGAUGUGAGAAAAAAACAAAGGUCAGAGCCCCUGGGCUGGGAGCUGCAGCCCCUCCUACACAGCAACUCAGCAAGCACCACCUCAACCCCUGCUCCCUUCAUCUUCUCUGAGUCCAUAGUGGCUGAAGACAUGAGGCCAGGGAUGGGUCCUGGUCCACUUCCUCUGCUUGCUGGAGGAAUAAUCAGGUGAUGGGACAUGAAGGAGCUUAAAAGAGGGUGUGGCACAAAACAAGGCUAAGUAUAUAAUAGCUGGGUUUUGGAGGGUUUUGUUUGUUUGAAUUUAUUUUAUUUAUUUGGCUGCACCAGGUCUUAGUUGUGGCACACAGGAUCUUUUUAGUUGUGGCAUGCGGACUCUUAGUUGUGGCAUGCGGGAUCUAGUUUCCUGACCAGGGAUCGAACCUGGGCCCCCUGUAUUGAGAGUGUGGAGUCUUAACCGCUGGACCACCAGGCAAGUCCCUGGGUUUUUUUGGUUUGUUUUGUUUGGUUGGUAGCUAGAAUUCUUGACAUUUAGAAAGUCCAGAGAUGGGGAGAGAAAGGAUGGCCUGGAGCUUAGCAAAGGAGGCAGCAGGUAGAGCUGGAUAUUCAUGGGUCCACCACUGCCUCGCCAGCUUCCAGACCUCAGUCUCCUGUUGUGUGGAAUGGCCACCUCACUUCACAGCAAGGACGGGACAUGCAGCAAUACCUGGGACCCUCAUACACAUGUGACCCCAUUCCUGACCUGGUCAGGGCCCCAGCUUCCCUCCACAUUGGGCCGGGCACACAGAGUGUUGAUCAAAUCUAGGCUUAACACCCACCAGGGCAUUUGGAAUCUCCUGGCCUGGAUUCUCCCUCCCAGGGAACUGUAGGGGCCUUCUGGAGACAUUUUCCCCGAAAAAGCACCCCAGUGGAGAGUACCCCUAUGAGCACAUCACCUGAGCACCAGCUCUUUGGUGGUGCUGGGUGAGGACCACUUUAUAUGAGCCAAUCUGCUGUCCUGCCACAGGGCCCUGUCUUCGUAUCUGCCAUUCAACUCUUGCCUAAUUGACAGUUACACUCAAGUCCUUCCUCUGCUCUGAAACCUCCCAUGGCUCUCCAUCGCCUGAUUCCUCGCCCUGACAUUCAAGGCCACGCAUGGCUUGAGUCGCUCUGUCUGUGGAGGGCAUGCCUAGGUUGCAUGAGAGGCACUCACUAACAUCCUGCCCUUCCUUUAAGAUUGAAGUAAAUGCCACUUCAUUCAUUUAUUCCUCUAUCAUGCAUUCAUUCAUUCAUUCAACACAAUUUAUUAAACACAUAAUUUAUUUAUUGAUACAUCUUUGUCACCUACUAGGUGAAGACAUGAUUCUAGGCCUGGAGUAGAAAGAGACUGUGGUCUUAACCAAUUCCUGAGCCUGUCUCAAGCCCCCAUCCACACCCCAGUCCCUUGAGGGUCCUUCCAAAGCUUCUGCUGUUGCUUCUUCUUGACUGAUGUCAACCAAGAUGACCAACCUGCUUGUUAUGGUGUUUUCUAACUGUGCAAGUAAGCUUAGCCACUGUGUUGAGCAACCUAGAAACUCCAGGAACGUAACAUCCUGGAGCAGCCCUCCAACAACGACAGUCGACAGUGGGUGGACAAACCUGGCAGCCUCCUCGCUCCUCAGUUGGAUUAGCUCUGGGACACAUUCUUCGUUCAUCUCCGAGUUCCCCUGAGGGACUGAGCUCCAGUUGUCCUGUCUGGUAGAACUGCACGUCCAUCUGGAUGGAGCCAUCAAGCCUGAAACCAUCUUAUAUUAUGGCAGGAAGCGAGGCAUCACCCUCCCUGCCGACACACCAGAGGAGCUGCAGGACAUCAUCGGCAUGGACAAGCCGCUCAGCCUCCCGGGCUUCCUGGCCAAGUUCGCCUACUACAUGCCCGCCAUCGCGGGCUGCCGGGAGGCCAUCAAAAGGACUGCCUACGAGUUUGUGGAGAUGAAGGCCAAGGAGGGCGUGGUGUACGUGGAGGUGCGCUACAGCCCGCACCUGCUGGCCAACUCCAAAGUGGAGCCGAUCCCCUGGAACCAGGCUGAAGGGGACCUCACCCCGGAUGAGGUGGUGUGUCUAGUGGACCAGGGCCUGCAAGACGGAGAGCGAGACUUCGGGGUGAAGGUGCGGUCCAUCCUGUGCUGCAUGCGCCACCAGCCCAGCUGGUCCCCCGAGGUGGUGGAGCUGUGUAAGAAGUACCGGCAGCAGACCGUGGUGGCCAUCGACCUGGCCGGAGAUGAGACCAUCCAAGGCAGCACCCUCUUCCCUGAACACGUGCAGGCCUACGCGGAGGCCGUGAAGAGCGGCGUCCACCGCACGGUCCACGCCGGGGAGGUGGGCUCGGCCGAGGUGGUGAGAGAGGUGAGUGGCUGGGCAGGCGGUGGGGCCCUUCUCCCCGCUCGCCCCGCAGCCCGUGCUGGGCUCCACGCUGCUUGUCAACAGGCCGUGGACGUGCUCAAGACCGAGAGGCUGGGGCACGGCUACCACACUCUGGAGGACCCGGCCCUCUACAACAGGCUGCGGCAGGAAAACAUGCACUUCGAGGUCUGCCCCUGGUCCAGCUACCUCACCGGCACCUGGAAGCCAGGCACGGAGCAUGCAGUCGUUCGGUUCAAAAACGAUCAGGCUAAUUACUCCCUCAACACGGAUGACCCACUCAUCUUCAAGUCCACCCUGGACACUGAUUACCAGAUGACCAAACAGGACAUGGGCUUCACUGAAGAGGAGUUUAAGAGACUGGCCACUCAGAGACCCCAGGAUGAGCCCUUGAUUUCCGUGGUUCUGACAUCCCAAGUCUGUCCCUGCAGGACUGUCUCUCUGGCGCCACACAUCCCACCCCGUCUCUCAAAGGUUUCUCCAACCUCCCUGCCACAUCUGUGUAUCACGUCCUGCCACGUUAAGAACCCAGAACCUCACAGUCUCUGCUCUGGCGGGUGCUGCCGCGUGACCUUGGACAAGGCCUCGCCACUCUGAGCUUAAUGAAUUGCCCAUGUUUAAUGGACUGUCACUAGAUUGCUAAGGACUCCCUCCUAUGCUCUCUGGUUUCACACUGUCUGCCGUGCUGGCCCUUCCAGAACAUCAAUGCGGCAAAGUCCAGUUUCCUCCCAGAAGAUGAGAAGAGGGAGCUUCUUGAUCUGCUCUAUAAAGCCUACGGGAUGCCACCUUUGGCCUCUGCAGGGCAGUGUCCCUGAAGACAUCGUGGCCACCUCUCAGAGUCCUCACCCUGUGGAUGGAGUCCUCACAGCUCCCUUUACUCCUUCCAGGGAGACUAUGAUUUCCAGAGUCAGCUACUGACGCUCGUGAAGCCCACAUGCCUGUUUCCGUACACACAUAUACCUCCGCCUGGCCGUGUCUCUCCUCUGAUUGUGUGCCCGGGCCAGGAUCAGGGCCUGUGGCUGGUUGAAUCUGAAUCCCUCCCUCCUCUGGUAACCUGUGCUGAAAAUCUGGUGCUUAAUAAAGAAAACAACAGCUGG